UUCUGCGAUUGACUAGCGAUUCCGUACUGUCACUGCGAGUUCCGAGUCUGCAAGACCUGCGAUCCCGGACUUAUGCAGAUUCGGGUUUAGCUAGAGAUUAGCUCUCACCGUCGGCGGCAGUUGGCAACCCUCUGUACCGACCAUUUGUAGCACGUGUGUAGCCCAGGCCGUAAGGGCCAUGAUGACUUGACGUCAUCCCCACCUUCCUCCGGUUUGUCACCGGCAGUCUCCUUAGAGUGCCCACCAGUUACGUGCUGGUAACUAAGGACAAGGGUUGCGCUCGUUACGGGACUUAACCCAACAUCUCACGACACGAGCUGACGACAGCCUAACCAGCACGGUGUGUCAGAGUUCCCGAAUUAAACCACUCGUCUCGGAAAGUUCUUGCAUGUCAGCAUGG
rnacentral:rRNA from 1 species